UCCUGGUUAGCUUAGUUGGUACAGCGCUCCACUGCAAAUGGAUAGGUUCCUGGUUUGAUACCAGAGGCAGGCA
rnacentral:tRNA from 1 species